CAUGGCCCCUGGAUUGGACUGCGGCCGAUCAGGCUGUUGGUGAGGUAAUGGCCCACCAAACCUGUAACCGGUACGGGCUCUGAGAGGAGGAGCCCGGAGAUGGGCACUGAGACAAGGGCCCAGGCCCUAUGGGGCGCAGCAGGCGCGAAACCUCUGCAAUAGGCGAAAGCUUGACAGGGUUACUCUGAGUGAUUUCCGUUAAGGAGAUCUUUUGGCACCUCUAAAAAUGGUGCAGAAUAAGGGGUGGGCAAGUCUGGUGUCAGCCGCCGCGGUAAUACCAGCACCCCGAGUGGUCGGGACGUUUAUUGGGCCUAAAGCAUCCGUAGCCGGUUCUACAAGUCUUCCGUUAAAUCCACCUGCUUAACAGAUGGGCUGCGGAAGAUACUAUAGAGCUAGGAGGCGGGAGAGGCAAGCGGUACUCGAUGGGUAGGGGUAAAAUCCGUUGAUCCAUUGAAGACCACCAGUGGCGAAGGCGGCUUGCCAGAACGCGCUCGACGGUGAGGGAUGAAAGCUGGGGGAGCAAACCGGAUUAGAUACCCGGGUAGUCCCAGCUGUAAACGAUGCAGACUCGGUGAUGAGUUGGCUUAUUGCUAACUCAGUGCCGCAGGGAAGCCGUUAAGUUUGCCGCCUGGGGAGUACGGUCGCAAGACUGAAACUUAAAGGAAUUGG
rnacentral:rRNA from 1 species